UACCCCUAAAUUCUUUGAUUUCCCUCUCAGUUUUUCCCCAAAUCUGAACUCCCCGCUAUUAUCCCUAAAAUUUUCAUCUAAACUUUUUUUAUUCUCAAAUCUUUUCACACACAACUACCACUAGGGUUCCACAGAGUAGAACCCAAAGAAAACAAAGAAGAAUGAGAGAAUCCUAGAGCAUUCUCAUUCCAAACGACUUGAUCCUUCUUCCUCGAAGAUAAAUGGAGUUCACUUCCAGCCACCGUGUGCCGCGGUUGUCGUUUCAGACGAAAAAAAACAAAUGUAGAAACUAUAUGAUUUUCGAUGACCCGUCGAAACUUAUGUGGUUCCUUCCGUUUCGUUGAAUUGCUUUCUCUCUGAACGCACAAUAACCACUGGAGGUGACGAAUUAGAAGAUUAUUUGUUAUACCGAAAGACAAACGUGGAUCACUUAUAAAUAUAGUUCUGAUUCACUUCAUAACUAGGGGUCUUCAUUCAAGUUCGAUUUCAUAUGAUCCAAUGAUGUUGAUGAGGGAAUAUAGGUUCUGGAGAGGAAGGGUUGAAGAUGGAUAUGAAGACCAGGUUAAAAAAUCAUCCAACAAUAGAUUUUAGUAACUGUUUAUUAGAUGUUAGGACUUUAGAGUUAAACUUCAAUGAGCCAUAAGCCUAUAACCAUCGUGAAUACAACAAUAAGUUAUUAUUUUAUGACUUAGGGGGUGUUUGGGUUAGCUUAUUUUGAAGCAACUUAUGACUUAUUAACUUAUAAAAGUUAAUAAGUUGUUUCUUAAGUGUUUGGGUUAGCUUAUUUUAGAGGAUUUUGUGUGUGUGAGAAGUCAUUUUUGAGAAGUCAGAAUUUCUGACUUCUCACUUAUGACUUAUAUAAGUUAAUAAGUCGUUUUGAGAAGGAAUGCCAAACACCCACUUAAACUAUUUUGACAUUGUCUUUAUGUUGUGGAUAUGGACACUACAUAUCUUAUGACUUUGGGCUUAUGUAUGUAUGGGUAUUUUCCCAUAGCCAGAACCUUUGUUGGUUGUACACUUUUGGGAUGUGUUCCCACUGACACUUAAAAAUAAUAAUAAUAAAAAGAAACAGAAAAGGAGUAACACAAGCCCAUAAUUUGCAAUCAAGACAAGCAUUUGGGACUUUGGAGUUUGGACCGUAAGAAUAUCCGAAAAGGAGUAUCCCAGGCGAAGGGGAAAUCGUCAACUGUAAAGCCGCACGGUGAGACGAUAACACACAAAAAAUGGUGAUGGCGUGUGCAGUGGCGGGUACUGGUUUUUGAAUUUACAUUCAGUGAUUUUCGUGACCGGAAAUGCCAAAACGCUCGAAGAAGUUAAAGUUAUUUUAGGGCAAUCAAUCCCUUUUCGCAACCAAGUGUUAAACUCGACUGUAUGUAUAUUCUUCACUUAUAAUGCUCUAAUUUUCAUCCAACAACUUUUUAUUAUUAUUAUUAUUAUUAUUAUUAUUAUUAUUAUUAUUAUUAUUAUUAUUAUUAUUAUUACUUUCUUUUUAAUUUUUUUUAUGUUAUGGUUGAUUGAUCAGUAACGGUGUUGGAACAUCAAGGCGACCCAGAAGAUCGAGCUCGUUUAGCUACUAAUCAGGCCCACUAAUUACUCAAUACUCGUAUUCUAUAAUUUAUAUUAGUAAUUAUUAAAAGUUUUAGUUUUAAUGAUAUGGGAAUGUGUGUAGGUGAAAGGACGAGUGUUGGUUAAGUACACAUGUUUCUGUUUCAAUGCUCACAAGGGACUCCGUGGUAGAUUUAGUUCAUACAAUUGGAUAGAGAAGAGGAUUAGAGUUGAUAUGAAGAUCAAUUAACUAAUAUAGUAUGAUCUGUUGUUUUGUUUACAGGGUCUUACAUGUAACUCUCUAUUGUCUGCACUUGUUUGAUUGUUCUGGUUCUUAAGGUGAUGUUUUAUGACUUCCUGUCAAUGUCUUUUAUAAACACAUUACUCACAAGUUUAACUAUUUAUAAUUCAUUCAAACCUUGUUUAUAUAAAUUUUAUAUCUAAAAGUAAGUAUUGUGGUAUUUGAGUGCAAUUUGUCAAUAUAAAGUUGUUAAAGUUAUGUACUUUUACGUUUAAUUAAUAACAAAAGUUUUGUUUAAUAGCCUCGGUUAAGUCCUACCCCGUACCAUUCAAUAUUGUUUGUUAUGACAUUUGAAUUAAAGAUUACGUUAUAUACAUAUGCAUACUUGUAUAUACAUUUGAAGCUUCAUUUUCUUAAUGUAACUUUAUGUUUUAUUAGGCAACUUUUAUGGUUUCGGUUGCAAGUAUGAAUUGAAGACAUUGGUUUGGGUUGCAAGUAUGAAGGCAUCGUUCGGGAAGUUAUUGUAUAUCACUUUCAUCUUUAGAGAUACAUGUAUUUGUGUUACUUUGAAACUUUUAUAAUUUCGUGUUACUUUGAAACCUUUGUAAUUUAUAUUCUUGGGUUAUUUUAUAUUGGUUUUAAUUUAA